CCUACGGGAGGCAGCAGUGAGGAAUUUUGCGCAAUGGGCGAAAGCCUGACGCAGCGACGCCGCGUGGAGGAAGACGGCCUUCGGGUUGUAAACUCCUGUCAGGGGUGAAGAAACUUCGCAAGAAGCUGACGGUAACCCCAGAGGAAGCCCCGGCUAACUACGUGCCAGCAGCCGCGGUAAUACGUAGGGGGCAAGCGUUGCUCGGAAUUACUGGGCGUAAAGGGUGUGUAGGUGGCUGAUUAAGUCAAAGAUGAAAUCCCGAGGCUCAACUUCGGAACGG
rnacentral:rRNA from 1 species